UCUUUGAUUGGGAAUCCGGGUCUUCAAUUUGGAUUAGUAGGUUAGGGUUCUUCAAUUGGAAACCCGAUUAAGUUACUCUCUCUUUCUCGCUCGUAUUCUCCGGCGCGACGCCAACAAUUUGUCUUCUUCACUAUAACAAUCGUCGUUUCUCAACUCCUCUCUCACCUUCUUCACCUUUGCAACUGCCAUGGAGGAGAGAGAAAGCACGCAGAUGAUAAAGAAUUUGAGGAGAGAGAAAACAGAUCUGGGAUUUCUCUCUCAUCCAUUGUUAACGAUCUGGGUAUAAUAGAGCUCCUGGUAGCGGAACCUCUCUUUUCUAUCACCAAGUUCUCCUCUUGCCCUCACUGGUGCCUUUGGGGGUAGUAAAAUAGUUAACAAAGUCUUUCUCCCUUGUGAUUGUUUCAGAUGCUUUGGAUUGUUUCAGAUGGUUUUGUUAUUUUCCAGGUCAAGAUUGUUGAGCAGGAAGAGAUCUUUGUGAAGCAGAGAGCUGAAUGGGAAGCUAAAAACAGGGGUCACUGCAACAAGGAUUAGGUUGGUGCUGCGUUUUCCAUUGUUUACAUAUUUGGAGCUCCGGUCAUGUUUGUUGGGUGUGGGCAAUGCUACACAGACCUCAAAAAGUUGAAUGUGAAAUCAAUUGUGAAGACUCCUUCGGGUAGAAUGCUUAGAUUAGAAUGCUUUUGUUCUUUUAAUGUUGCUUUGGAUGAUUAGGAAGUGCUCCCUUUUUACAUUUGAAGUUUAUAGUACGAGUUCGAUUAAUCAUUUGAUGUUU
rnacentral:lncRNA from 1 species